rnacentral:rRNA from 1 species
CAGCCGCCGCGGUAAUACGAAGGGUGCAAGCGUUACUCGGAAUUACUGGGCGUAAAGCGUGCGUAGGUGGUGGUUUAAGUCCGUUGUGAAAGCCCUGGGCUCAACCUGGGAAUUGCAGUGGAUACUGGGUCACUUGAGUGUGGUAGAGGAUAGUGGAAUUUCCGGUGUAGCAGUGAAAUGCGUAGAGAUCGGAAGGAGCAUCUGUGGCGAAGGCGACUAUCUGGGCCAACACUGACACUGAGGCACGAAAGCGUGGGGAGCAAACAGGAUUAGAUACCCGAGUAGUCCCUGUCUCUUAUAC